UUCAUCCCUACGACCAACUAUUGGGUCAUUGGGUUCCUUCUAACACAAAAUUCCAUGAACAUUUGGGUUCGAUCUUCUGAUUCGAUGCGGCUCCUUGCACUGCUGGUGAGCCUACCGCCGACCCAGUGAAUCCGCAGGGUCCCUGGAGGAGCAUCGCAGUAGAUUGGGGUGCCGGACGGAGAGCGAGUUGGGAGGCCGUAGCGCUAGCAGAUCUGGGGGACGCCAACGGUCUAGCUGGGGAAGUACAUCGGGCAAGAAAGGGGAGGAAGUACGGGCGGGGCUCGCGGUCAACUCGCCGGAGAGGAGGGUGCUGAUGGUUGGCGGCGACGAGGUUGGGCGAGCGCAUAUCGGCGAGGGGCCUCGUUGCGCGCGCGGUUGCGCUCAAGGUCUAGUGGAGCGUCGCCGAUUGUACUCGCAGACCUGAAUCUGGGACUUGAAAAAGGAGACCUGAAGAAUUCCUGCAUCGCCAUGGUGGUUCCUGGUAGCAGCAAGAAAGUGGUUCUGAACAACUGAUUGCUAGUGUAUCGACUCUGCACAACAGCACUAGGCACAGGAAGGAGUUCAGUAGAUGGAAGGGAUCAUGGUGAGUGCCGCCACAGGGGCGGUGAACUCCCUUCUCACCAAGCUCACCGCUCUCAUGGGGGAGGAGUACAAAGCACAAAAGGGCUUAUUCCGCGACAUCGCCUUCCUUAGAGACGAGCUGAGCAGCAUGAACGUGCUCCUGGAGAAGUUGGCAGGGGUGGAGACACUCGACCCUCAAGUAAGGGAGUGGAGGAACCAGGUGAGGGAGAUGGCCUACGACAUCGAGGACUACAUUGACAGCCACAUGUUCCAGCUCCACUGUGAGCUGGGCAAGCCCAGUGGUGCGAAGGAGUUCUUCCGCAGGAGGGUCCGAAAGGUGGACUUUGGAGCUUAACGUGAGAUUGCAGGGCAGAUCCAAGAGAUUAAGGCCCGCAUCAUUGUAGCAAGCCAGCGUCAUGAUAGAUACAAGGUUGAUGAGGUGGCAGUUGGUUCUGGUAGCGCAAAUGUUGUGUCAAUUGACCCUCGUUUGCCUGCCCUUUAUGUGGAGGCAGCCAACCUUGUCGGAAUUGACGGUCCCAGGGAGGAUCUUAUUAAGUUGGUCACCGAUGAAGAGCUCUCUGUCAGGGUGGUCUCUAUUGUAGGUUUUGGAGGAUCUGGCAUACUGUAGCUAACCAAGUGUAAAAAAAAUAGGUGGCCAAUUUAAGUGCCAAGCUUUUGUGUCAGUGUCGCUAAAUCCUGAUAUAAGAAAAAUUUUGUGGGCUUUACUGGCUUAGUGAAGAAAGAAGACUAUGCAAUCACCAAACAGAGUGAUGAGGAGUCGCUUAUCAAUGCACUGAGGAGCUUUCUCAAGGACAAGAGGUAUAUAAUUGUAGUCGAUGAUAUCUGGAGUAUACAAGCAUGGAAGACUAUCAAAUGUGCUCUGCCUGAGAAUUCCUUCUGUAGCAGAAUAAUAGUGACAACAAGAAACAUUAGUGUCGCCAAAUCAUGUUGCUCACCUUACCAUGAUUUUGCAUACAAGGUAAGGCUACUAAGUGAAGCAGAUUCUGAAACUUUAUUCUAUAGAAGGGUUUUUGGCUCUGAGGAUAAAUGCCCACUUCACCUGAAGGAAGUUUCAACUGAAAUCAUAAAAAAGUGUGGUGGCUUACCGUUGGCAAUCAUCACAAUAGGCAGUUUGUUAAGCACUAAAUCAGAUACCAGAGAAGAGUGCAUCACUGUUAGAAAUUCAAUUGGUUUAGGACUUGAGAAAAAUCCAGAUGUGGAGGAAAUGAGAGCGAUUUUAUCUCUUAGUUAUAAUGAUCUUCCACUUCAUUUGAAGACCUGUUUAUUGUAUUUGGCCAUUUAUCCUAAAGAUUAUGAGAUCCAAAUGGAAGAUUUGGUGAGGAGGUGGAUAGCAGAAGGAUUCCUCAAGGUUGAGGGUAGAAGAAAUUUAAUGGAUGUAGGUAAACUGUAUUUCAAUGAACUUAUAAAUAGAAGUAUGAUCCAGCCACUAGAUAUCAGCUAUAAUGGCUAAGCAAAGGGAGGCCAUGUGCAUGAUAUGAUCCUUGAUCUUAUCAAAUCCAAGGCAGUUGAAGAAAAUUUUAUCUCCUUUAGUGGUGAUGAACCACAUAUAUUGGUCUCCAAGGAUAAGGUUCUUUGACUCUCAAUUGACUACUGACCAAGAAAAUGUGAUUCCACUGUCAACCAUGAUUACUGCUCAUGUCCGAUCCCUUAGCAUAUUUGGAUGUGCCCAACAAAUGCCGCCAGUUUUGGAAUUUCCAGCCCUGAAUGCUUGCUCUAGAUAGGAUCCAAAAGUUAGAAAGUGGUUAUCUUAAAAAUAUAGGGAAGUUGUUUCUCUUGAGGUACCUAAGGAUUAAAGGAAGCAACAUUACUCAACUUCCAGAACAGAUAGGGGAGUUACAGUGUUUGGAAAUACUGGAUCUACAUGGCACUGGUAUAAGAGAACUUCCGACAAGUAUUGUUAAUCUUCGACAAUUGAAAUGGAUGCUCACAGAUGGUGUGAAAUUGCCCCAGAGUGUUGGGAAAAUGCAAGGUACGGAGGAAAUGUCAUGUAUAGCUAUGGAUGAGAGUACCCCCUUAGAUUCUUUGCAGGAGCUGGGAAGUUUGAGUAGACUGAGAACCCUUGGUAUAAAGUGGUGCAUUAGUGACUCACAUGUUCAUAAAAUAGCCUAUGUGCAUAACUUAGUUUCAUCACUCGGCAAACUUGGUAGCUCCAACCUUCGGCAUUUACAUGUGAAAACGGAUGGUCGUCUGGUUCACAUCCCAUUGGAUUCUUGGUCCCCACCUCCUCGACUGCUGCACGGAUUAAUACACA